rnacentral:rRNA from 1 species
GAUGAACGCUGGCGGCGUGCCUAACACAUGCAAGUCGAGCGAUCUUCUUCGGAAGAGAGCGGCGGACGGGUGAGUAACGCGUGGGUAACCUGCCCUGUACACACGGAUAACAUACCGAAAGGUAUGCUAAUACGGGAUGACAUAUGAAAGUCGCAUGGCUUUUAUAUCAAAGCUCCGGCGGUACAGGAUGGACCCGCGUCUGAUUAGCUAGUUGGUAAGGUAACGGCUUACCAAGGCGACGAUCAGUAGCCGACCUGAGAGGGUGAUCGGCCACACUGGAACUGAGACACGGUCCAGACUCCUACGGGAGGCAGCAGUGGGGAAUAUUGCACAAUGGGCGAAAGCCUGAUGCAGCAACGCCGCGUGAGCGAUGAAGGCCUUCGGGUCGUAAAGCUCUGUCCUCAAGGAAGAUAAUGACGGUACUUGAGGAGGAGGCCCCGGCCAACUACGUGCCAGCAGCCGCGGUAAUACGUAGGGGGCUAGCGUUAUCCGGAAUUACUGGGCGUAAAGGGUGCGUAGGCGGUCUUUCAAGCCAGAAGUGAAAGGCUACGGCUCAACCGUAGUAAGCUUUUGGAACUGUAGGACUUGAGUGCAGGAGAGGAGAGUAUUCCUAGUGUAGCGGUGAAAUGCGUAGAUAUUAGGAGGAAUACCAGUAGCGAAGGCGGCUCUCUGGACUGUAACUGACGCUGAGGCACGAAAGCGUGGGGAGCAAACAGG